rnacentral:lncRNA from 1 species
GGGGGACACUGAAGGGAGAUGAGAGGAACAAGCACUGGGGUGGUUCUAGGUCUCUCUGGGACCAGCCACUCCAAAGAACACAACCAGUGCAUGCUGAUCUUAUCUUCUUUCAGACCCUGCAACUUCCACGUCUUCUUUAACCCAGAAAGCUUGUUGCAUUUGCAGAAUCUCUGGGGAGAAUAUUAUUAUCAUCUUUAUUAGUAGUAGGUGUUCGCGUGGAGGUGGUCUCAGCUGGAGGACUCCUGGAGUCUGCCCAAAGGGUUCCCAUGACCUCUGGGCUCCACUUACUUCACAAGCCUUGCCCCAGCUCCUCCUGGGCCUGAAGCUGUGUCUGGUGCCUCAUGCCUUUCCAGGUGUUGUGAAUGACACACUGAUGUUGGAGAUCCUUGGCCAUCCAUGUUAUGAACAUUUUUUACUAUUUAGCCAGGUAUCAAAGCUCAAACCAUAGUCUGUAGAAAUAUAAGUUCCAGGAGUGGGGGUCUUGCUAGGUGACGUUGAGCCAGCAGGGCUUUCUGGCGACAGCAAUGACUGUGAUGUUGACAGGUGGGUCGGACUGCAGGAUUCCAUAACCCUCUAAUAUUUGGGUUUUGCUGAACUUGCUCCCAACACUGUUGGUGACACACAGGGACACUGUAUAGAAAGAGUAAUCUCCCUCUGGCACUGCCAACUGGCAGAACUUCUGGGACUCCUGAGAAUACUGACACGGCUCCUGGAAGAGUUCUGCCUGACAGUUCUGAAACUUUCUCACCAAUAGCACAGCUUUGACUCAGAACCUUGACUCCAAGGACUCUAUUCACAACCAAUGUCACUGAGGGGGCUCUUCCAGAAGCAGGAGAGCUGGGGCUCCUCAGGAGAAACAUCCACCAGCAAAGCACAGACCUGCUGGGCAGCCAGCCCGGCAGCAAGAAUAGUUUCCAGAGUCGCAGAGCUGCACCAACCUCAGAAGCAGCCUCCUUCCCACACCAGCCCAUCUGCUGGGGCGUGAGCCUGCGCCGGGAGUCCUGUGCAACCAGUGGACAGUGGCAUGACUUUCAGGUUCUCCCUCUGGACAGUUAACGUUCGAGGCUCCUUUCAAUGUUCUCAACUCUUCAAACAAGUGUUCUUUCUGGAAAAGCCGGCAGGGUGCAUCUACUCCU